AACGAACGUUGGCGGCGUGCCUAACACAUGCAAGUCGAGCGCGAAAUUCACCUUCGGGUGGAGAGUAGAGCGGCGCACGGGUGAGUAACACGUGAGUAACCUGCCCCAGAGUCUGGGAUAACCUCCCGAAAGGGUGGCUAAUACCGGGUAAGCCUACAGAGCCGUUGGGUUCGGUAGGAAAAGCUUUAUGUGCUUUGGGAUGGGCUCGCGUCGCAUUAGAUAGUUGGUGGGGUAAUGGCCUACCAAGUCGAAGAUGCGUAGCUGGUCUGAGAGGGUGAUCAGCCACACUGGAACUGAGACACGGUCCAGACUCCUACGGGAGGCAGCAGUGGGGAAUAUUGCGCAAUGGGGGCAACCCUGACGCAGCAACGCCGCGUGAGUGACGAAGGCCUUCGGGUCGU
rnacentral:rRNA from 1 species